AAGUGUCAUAGCUCUUUUAGAAUUUGUUUAGCAGGCUUUCUGGUUUUUACUGCAAAGCCCCU
ensembl:snRNA U7 U7 small nuclear RNA